rnacentral:sRNA from 1 species
AUCCCUACGGCUAAUCCUCAGGUCCGCCGCAACUCCUGAGCUUCCCGUAGGGCGGUUGGUCCGGACGCGGACAGAGUGGCCUCUUCAACAUGCCGCUCCGGACCAGCCACUCU